rnacentral:rRNA from 1 species
CCUACGGGAGGCAGCAGUGAGGAAUAUUGGUCAAUGGACGAGAGUCUGAACCAGCCAAGUAGCGUGAAGGAUGACUGCCCUAUGGGUUGUAAACUUCUUUUAUAGGGGAAUAAAAUGUGCCACGUGUGGGAUUUUGUAUGUACCAUAUGAAUAAGGAUCGGCUAACUCCGUGCCAGCAGCCGCGGUAAUACGGAGGAGCCGAGCGUUAUCCGGCUUUAUGGGGGUUAAAGGGAGCGUAGGGGGAUUGUUAAGUCAGUUGUGAAAGUUUGCGGCUCAACCGUAAAAUUGCAGUUGAAACUGGCAGUCUUGAGUACAGUAGAGGUGGGCGGAAUUCGUGGUGUAGCGGUCAAAUGCUUAGCUAUCAC